CCCUUAGAUGUUCUGGGCUGCACGCGCGCUACACUGAUGCGCUCAACGAGUUUACGACCUUGCCCGGAAGGGUUGGGUAAUCUUUUUAAAACGCAUCGUGAUGGGGAUAGAUUAUUGCAAUUAUUGAUCUUGAACGAGGAAUUCCUAGUAAACGCGAGUCAUCAGCUCGCAUUGAUUACGUCCCUGCCCUUUGUACACACCGCCCGUCGCACCUACCGAUUGAAUGUUUCGGUGAAGAUUCCGGAUAGGACUUUUUUGAUUUAUUUCAAUUUUGUCUUAAAAGCUAUCUAAACCUCAACAUUUAGAGGAAGGUGAAGUCGUAACA
rnacentral:rRNA from 1 species